CUGCUCAGAUUGAACGCUGGCGGCAGGCCUAACACAUGCAAGUCGAACGGUAACAGGAAGCAGCUUGCUGCUUCGCUGACGAGUGGCGGACGGGUGAGUAAUGUCUGGGAAACUGCCUGAUGGAGGGGGAUAACUACUGGAAACGGUAGCUAAUACCGCAUAACGUCGCAAGACCAAAGAGGGGGACCUUCGGGCCUCUUGCCAUCGGAUGUGCCCAGAUGGGAUUAGCUUGUUGGUGGGGUAACGGCUCACCAAGGCGACGAUCCCUAGCUGGUCUGAGAGGAUGACCAGCCACACUGGAACUGAGACACGGUCCAGACUCCUACGGGAGGCAGCAGUGGGGAAUAUUGCACAAUGGGCGCAAGCCUGAUGCAGCCAUGCCGCGUGUAUGAAGAAGGCCUUCGGGUUGUAAAGUACUUUCAGCGGGGAGGAAGGGAGUAAAGUUAAUACCUUUGCUCAUUGACGUUACCCGCAGAAGAAGCACCGGCUAACUCCGUGCCAGCAGCCGCGGUAAUACGGAGGGUGCAAGCGUUAAUCGGAAUUACUGGGCGUAAAGCGCACGCAGGCGGUUUGUUAAGUCAGAUGUGAAAUCCCCGGGCUCAACCUGGGAACUGCAUCUGAUACUGGCAAGCUUGAGUCUCGUAGAGGGGGGUAGAAUUCCAGGUGUAGCGGUGAAAUGCGUAGAGAUCUGGAGGAAUACCGGUGGCGAAGGCGG
rnacentral:rRNA from 1 species